UCNCAGAUCUGAUGCCUCUGAUGCCUGUA
rnacentral:piRNA from 1 species